AACGAACGCUGGCGGCGUGCCUAACACAUGCAAGUCGAACGUGAUUGGAAGCUUGCUUCCAUGAAAGUGGCGCACGGGUGAGUAACGCGUAGAUAAUCUGCCUGGUGAUCCGGGAUAACACUUCGAAAGGGGUGCUAAUACCAGAUAAGCCCACGGGGUCUUCGGACUCUGCGGGAAAAGGGGGGGACCUUCGGGCCUUCUGUCACCAGAUGAGUCUGCGUACCAUUAGCUAGUUGGUAGGGUAAAGGCCUACCAAGGCGACGAUGGUUAGCUGGUCUGAGAGGAUGAUCAGCCACACUGGAACUGAGACACGGUCCAGACUCCUACGGGAGGCAGCAGUGGGGAAUUUUGCGCAAUGGGGGGAACCCUGACGCAGCAACGCCGCGUGAGUGAUGAAGGCCCUUGGGUCGUAAAGCUCUGACAGAGGGAAAGAAAUGUGGGUGGCUAAUAUCCAUACCACUUGACGGUACCCUCAAAGGAAGCACCGGCUAACUCCGUGCCAGCAGCCGCAGUAAAAC
rnacentral:rRNA from 1 species